rnacentral:rRNA from 1 species
AUUGAACGCUGGCGGCAUGCCUUACACAUGCAAGUCGAACGGUAUAGGGGGCAACCUCUCGAGAGUGGCGAACGGGUGAGUAAAGCAUCGGAACGUGCCCAGUAGUGGGGGAUAGCCCGGCGAAAGCCGGAUUAAUACCGCAUGAGACCUACGGGUGGUAGGGGGGGAUCGCAAGACCUCGCGCUAUGGGAGCGGCCGAUGUCAGAUUAGGUAGUUGGUGGGGUAAAGGCCUACCAAGCCGACGCUCUGUAGCUGGUCUGAGAGGACGACGAGACAGACUGGGACUGGGACACGGGCCAGAGACCUACGGGAGGCAGUAGUGGGGAAUUUUGGACAAAGGGCGAAAGCCUGAUCCAGCCAUGCCGGGUGCGGGAAGAAGGCCUUCGGGUUGUAAACGGCUUUUGUCAGGGAAGAAAGCCUUUGAGUUAAUACCUCGGCGGGAUGACGGUACCUGAAGAAUAAGCACCGGCUAACUACGUGCCAGCCGCCGCGGUAA